GUGAGCUGUGAAAGCCUUCUGCUUAACCGGAGUAGUGCAUUGGAAGCUGGGAGACUUGAGUGCAGAAGAGGAGAGUGGUACUCCAUGUGUAGCGGUGAAAUGCGUAGAUAUAUGGAAGAACACCAGUGGCGAAAGCGGCUCUCUGGUCUGUAGCUGACGCUGAGGUUCGAAAGCGUGGGUAGCA
rnacentral:rRNA from 1 species